rnacentral:rRNA from 1 species
AUUGAACGCUGGCGGCAUGCCUUACACAUGCAAGUCGAACGGUAACGCGGGGCAACCUGGCGACGAGUGGCGAACGGGUGAGUAAAGCAUCGGAACGUGCCCAGUAGUGGGGGAUAGCCCGGCGAAAGCCGGAUUAAUACCGCAUACGACCUAAGGGUGAAAGCGGGGGAUCGCAAGACCUCGCGCUAUUGGAGCGGCCGAUGUCAGAUUAGGUAGUUGGUGGGGUAAAGGCCUACCAAGCCGACGAUCUGUAGCUGGUCUGAGAGGACGACCAGCCACACUGGGACUGAGACACGGCCCAGACUCCUACGGGAGGCAGCAGUGGGGAAUUUUGGACAAUGGGCGCAAGCCUGAUCCAGCCAUGCCGCGUGCGGGAAGAAGGCCUCGGGUUGUAAACCGCUUUUGUCAGGGAAGAAAUCCUCUGAGUUAAUACCUCGGGGGGAUGACGGUACCUGAAGAAUAAGCACCGGCUAACUACGUGCCAGCAGCCGCGGUAAUACGUAGGGUGCGAGCGUUAAUCGGAAUUACUGGGCGUAAAGCGUGCGCAGGCGGUUGUGCAAGACAGGUGUGAAAUCCCCGGGCUUAACCUGGGAACUGCACUUGUGACUGCACAGCUGGANUGCGGCAGAGGGGGAUGGAAUUCCGCGUGUAGCAGUGAAAUGCGUAGAUAUGCGGAGGAACACCGAUGGCGAAGGCAAUCCCCUGGGCCUGCACUGACGCUCAUGCA